rnacentral:rRNA from 1 species
UACGUAGGAGGCGAGCGUUGUCCGGAAUUAACUGGGCGUAAAGAGCGCGUAGGCGGCGACGAUACGACCGAUGAUGAAAGCCCCGCUCAACUGGGGAGGUCAUCGGUAACGGUCGUGCUAAUGAGUGCAGGAGAGGGAAGUGGAACGUCCGGGAGUAGCGGUGAAAUGCGUAGAAGACCGGAGAACACCAGUGGCGAAGG